CUCAGUGGAAGAAGAAAUGUUUUUUGAGGGAUUGGAUGCCAUUUUGGAUCGGCAAAAUGACUCUGACCCUGAUUGGGAACCAGACACUGAAGUUUUGGCUGAGGUGCAUGUGGAAAUUGAUGACCCUGAACUGACUUCAGUGCCUGCAGCCGAACCAGAGCCGGGCCCUUCCUCAAAGAUUCCC